GAUGCGGACUUCUACUCUUUUCCACUAUUAGACGCGCCUUUGUCCUGCACCUGGCCUCAGCGAGGUGGGAUGUGCAUACUCUUACUUUUAUAAAAAUGUUGUAUAUUGACCACUAAUUCUGUGCAUGCUGUCAUACAGAGAUGAUGACCCAUUCCUGAAGUUGGACGCCAGAAUGCAGGAAGGUGCUGUUUAAGAGCCAAGGCGGUGGAAGAAGCACUUGCAGGUAUGCUACCGACCAGGCUCCUCAACAUCAAUCCGAGACGGAAGAUGAAACGGGAUGAAGCAGUUAGAUUGAGACAAGGAGGCCGGAAACUUUGAUGACCUCAAUGACACUGGCUAGGUGAAGGACAUCAAGAAAAUGGCAUCAGGUCACCAGACAUCAGCUCAUAAUCCACAACGUCAUCAACCAUUUUGCGCCAAAAAUGAAGCCGUUCACAUACCAUGGCAUCCUAAGCAGGCAGCACUACACUACUGUGCAACAGUGAGAGGGAGUGGGCAAGGACAAGUAAAGCGGACCUAC